UAGAGUGCAGGAGAGGCAAGUGGAAAUUCCUAGUGUAGAGGUGAAAUUUCGUAGAUAUUAGGAGGAACACCAGUGGCGAAAGGCGACUUGCUUGGACUGUAACUGACGCUGAGGUACGAAAGCGUGGGGAGCGAACAGGAUUUAGAUACCCUGGUAGUCCACGCCGUAAACGAAUGAGUACUAGGUGUCGGGGGUCGAAUCUCGGUGCCGCAGUUAACACAUUAAGUAUUCCGCCUGGGGAGUACGGUCGCAAGACUGAAACUCAAAGGAAUUGACGGGGACCCGCACAAGCAGCGGAGCAUGUGGUUUAAUUCGAAGCAACGCGAAGAACCUUACCAAAUCUUGACAUCCUUUUGACCAUCAUUUAAUCAUGAUCUCUCUUCGGAGCAGAAGUGACAGGUGGUGCAUGGUUGUCGUCAGCUCGUGUCGUGAGAUGUUGGGUUAAGUCCCGCAACGAGCGCAACCCUUGUCUUUAGUUGUCAUCAGGUAAUGCUGGACCCUCUAAAGAGACUGCCGGUGAUAAACCGGAGGAAGGUGGGGAUGACGUCAAAUCAUCAUGCCCCUUAUGAUUUGGGCUACACACGUGCUACAAUGGUCGGUACAACAGGCAGCGAAAGGGUAACCUGGAGCGAAUCCUCUAAAGCCGAUCUCAGUUCGGAUUGUGGGCUGCAACUCGCCCACAUGAAGUUGGAGUUGCUAGUAAUCGUGAAUCAGAAUGUCGCGGUGAAUGCAUUCCCGGGUCUUGUACACACCGCCCGUCACACCAUGGAAGUUGGGGGCGCCCGAAGCCAGUGAUCCAACCGCAAGGAGGAAGCUGUCGAAGGUGAAACCAAUGACUAGGGUGAAGUCGUAACAAGGUAACCG
rnacentral:rRNA from 1 species